UACGGGGGGAGCAAGCGUUGUUCGGAUUUACUGGGCGUAAAGGGCGCGUAGGCGGCCUCUGCAAGUCGACUGUGAAAUCUCCGGGCUUAACCCGGAACGGUCAGCCGAUACUGCAGGGCUAGAGUGCAGAAGGGGCAACUGGAAUUCUCGGUGUAGAGGUGAAAUUCGUAGAUAUCGAGAGGAACACCGGUGGCGAAGGCGGCCUUCUGGACGAUGACUGACGCUGAGACGCGAAAGCGUGGGGAGCAAACAGG
rnacentral:rRNA from 1 species